UAACGCUAAAGCACAACACGUCAGCACCGGCAGUAUUGCCAGACCACUGACCUCAGAUCAUCUCUCGUCAGCCGCAGCCGCAGCCGCAGCCGCGACUUCAGCUUCGCCUUGCUUCCCGGCGGCGCGAACGCAUCGAUCCCGCCUCCUCGGCCUCCACCGUCCUUCGCGCCCUUCCCUAGCUCCAGCUGGAAAUCCUCCAUCUCCUACUUGUACAGAGAGGCUGGCGCACCGCGCACGUGAUGAUCUGUCGUUCUGGAGGCGGAGGGGCGACGUCGGAUGCCGCCGUGCCGGUGGGGGAGACGGAAGAUUCGCGCACCUUAUCGCCGCCCGCUGAAGGAACCCCCGAGCGCCCACCAGGUGCUCGACGUAAUGCCGCCGCGCCACCCACGGCAUCCAGUUUUAUAUCCUCCUAACCAGUGACGGAGAAGGUUAGUUUAUAGUAAAGGAGAACCGUACUCCAAUCCCGCCCGAGUUUCACACGGAGGUAGAGCUUCUGCCCCAGCCUCUCUUUUGUUCUGUUCUUCCUGCUGAAAAUCACCUGGGAGCACAGCGUCGCGUCCCAGCCUCCCAGGCGCCAUUGAUGGUUCUUGAAAUCGCAUUGUGUAAAUAAGCCGUGUGGUUGAGAGUCGAUAUACAAUUUCUUUACAUUGGGGAAUUGCACAUGUUUUCUUAGGAUUGGUGGCUACUGCUUUUUUUUUCAUCCUUUGUUUUAUUGCGGUGUCGCCUCAAGAUGUAGCAGCAACGAAGUGAAGAAGUGGAACUGUGCACUAAGUUAGUCGGAUGAGGUCUUCUCGUUUUGUGUAUGACCAGAGAAGACCUUAACAACUUGGAAGAAUCAUUAUAGGAAAAUAAAAAUGAGGGCAUCGGUUGCUAGUUUUUUUUUUCAUUUGCUGCCUUUGUUGUUUCAACAUGCUUUUCUUUGCUACGCAAAUAUGUUAAUUAUUUGGUUGUUCUGCUUUCAUGAACUGUUUGGGGAUUUGGGUAGUGACUUUCUCUUUACCAGUAGAGUACAUGUCCUUGCUGGUCUAAUAACUUAUUUUGUUGGCACGUAUUUAUCAAUGCUGCCAGAAAUUUGUGGCCCAAUAUUGGGCUUUAUAGAUAAAUGAUGUGAAAUAGGGGAAAAAGCUUUUUUUUUUAAAAAAAAAAACUUUCAAAGUUUCUGCUUUAAGUUGGGUACUAUAUGCUGAUAAUGCCUCCUUAUCCUGUUUCUGUAUUCUGUAUAGGAUUUCCAUCCUAACAAUUUGUAUAUGUUCAAACCAUACGAAAUAAUAGAAACCGGAAUGUUAAAAGGCCAUAAUAAACUCCAGAACUACGAGCAAUGUGUUCGUUCCUUUAUUAAGGGCUUUGAUAUCAAAUAUCAUAGCUUCAGAACUAAUUUAUUGAGUUCCUAUUUGAAGCGCAUUGGCACCUGUUUGAAGUACAGAGCAAAAACACUCCAUAUCAAAGAUGAGCUUCAGAUCUAUCGAACAGCUACUUAGGAGGAACAGCAAGACCAAAAUUGCUCGCAAUAUUAUUGAUGGUGUCCAUGACCAGAAGGAAGAGCAGUGUGUGCAAUCCUUGCGGGAGUUACUUCUUGCAAGCAACCAGCUACCGGAGAAGUUUGAUGACUACUAUCUCCUCCUACGCUUUCUGAGAAUGAGAGGCUUCAACAUCUUAAAGGCAAAAGAAAUGUUCUUAAAUAUGUUAAAAUGGCGUGAAGAUUGUUCUGUUGAUGCCAUUGCAAAUGAAUUUAAAUUUGAGGAGUAUGAUGCUGUGAAAAGAUGCUAUCCUCAUGGAUUUCAUGGAGUUGAUAAAUUUGGCAGGCCUCUAUAUAUCGAACGGAUUGGCUUGGUGGAUCUCAGCAAGCUCAUGCAGGUGACAAGUAUUGAUCGAUACAUAAAAUAUCAUAUAUCAGAACAAGAGAAAACUAUGUCUUUGAGAUAUCCUGCUUGCUCAAUUGCGACUAAAAAGCACAUUGCCUCUACAACAGCCAUAUUGGAUGUGAAAGGAUUGGGGAUGAAUAAUUUUUCAAAAUCUGCAAGAGAGAUGUUCAUUGAGAUCCAAAAGAUCGAUAGUAAUUACUAUCCAGAGACAUUAAAUCAACUUUAUACAAUUAAUGCUGGAACUGGCUUUAGAGCACUGUGGAAAGUAUUGAAAGCAUUCAUGGAAGCAAGGACUUUAGCAAAGAUUCAGGUUCUGGGGACCAAUUACCUUAACACAUUAUUAGAAGCUGUUGACCCAAGGUAAAAGUGCAACUAGUCAUGUGCAAUUUUUGCAUCUUUAGUGCCUUGAAUGAUUGCUCCUUUCUGCAGCAAUUUACCAGACUUUUUAGGGGGAACAUGCAAUUGUCCUGCAACAGGAGGAUGCUUGUUCCAAGAUAAAGGACCCUGGACCGACCCAGAAAUGGUUUGUGCUUCUAAGGUAAGGUAGCAUUUGGUAAAGGCCUGAAGUCUUUCAGUGAACUGACUGCUACAAUUGCCUGUGAAAGCUUUGCAGGUUGUCAGGAGCCUUCUGCGAAACAAGUAGAUUCCACUUCUCGUAGGAAAAGAACUCUUGGCAUGUUGUUAAAGGAUGACCAGGAUGGCACUGAUACAAGUGGAAAUAUUCUACGGAAACAGGUCGAUGAACAGAUCUCAGAGAAAAUCCGAGAACUUGAAGACUGUGCUGCUCAGACUAAGGAGACCCUGCAGACACUAAUAUGUAAGCAGCAAGAACUGACGAGCCACAUCGAACAGCUGAGGAGAAUCCUUAGGGACGGCACAAGUGCAGAUAAGCAAACUGAUGUACAAAACUCAAAGUAAAAUUAGUGCUUUCCAAAGCUGGAGAAAGCGAAAAAGGGCAAAAAAAAGAAGUAAUUGUUGUAUCAUUAUAGAGAAGAAAUAGGCACCUUAGAUAUUUUUCAGUGAGGAUUUUCAACACCAAAAUUGCGAAUGCCAUAGUACACCACGAUGAUCUUGGCAAUGCUAUGGACUAAGGUGGUAUGGCAUCCACUCAGAAAUGCUGCCAUGUUCAAUGUUACACAUGUAAUCCACAGUGAUCCAAAUUUGAUGAGUAAAACUGUUCCCUACCAAGACUCAAUUCUUUCU